CUCGUAGGUGGCCAACUAAGUCAGACGUGAAAUCCCUCGGCUUAACCGGGGAACUGCGUCUGAUACUGGAUGGCUUGAGUUCGGGAGAGGGAUGCGGAAUUCCAGGUGUAGCGGUGAAAUGCGUAGAUAUCUGGAGGAACACCGGUGGCGAAGGCGGCAUCCUGGACCAUUACUGACGCUGAGGCGCGAAAGCUAGGGAGCAAACG
rnacentral:rRNA from 1 species